rnacentral:rRNA from 1 species
UACGGAGGAUGCGAGCGUUAUCCGGAUUUAUUGGGUUUAAAGGGAGCGUAGGUGGAUUGUUAAGUCAGUUGUGAAAGUUUGCGGCUCAACCGUAAAAUUGCAGUUGAAACUGGCAGUCUUGAGUACAGUAGAGGUGGGCGGAAUGCGCGGUGUAGCGGUGAAAUGCAUAGAUAUCGCGCAGAACCCCGAUUGCGAAGGCAGCGUGCCGUGCCGCCACUGACGCUGAGGCACGAAAGCGCGGGGAUCGAACAGG